UGCAGAUUGGUCCGUUCUAAAGUACAAAAACUGAAAGAUCAAAAGUUAAAAUGAGAGUUCAUUUGAUUUUGCAUGGAAUCGUAUCUAUUGAUUCAGCAACUGUAAGGGAAGAAGUUGACGUUCCAGUCUCCAAAGAAUCAGCUGCAGAAAACACCAAGAUUGGAUACCGAUGAAUCCCCUGCUGAUGGUGCUGCGCCUCCAACCUCCAAUGACAAAAGCCUGUGCAAAUCGACACUGAUACCAAGGCUCCGAAGAAAAAGGCUAAGAAAGCAAAUAUUCUUGUGGAUCAAGUGAUUUAUGGAACUAUGGAACAAGUGGAUCUCCAGAAAGCUGUAGAGGAGUUUGAAAUGGCUUUGCAAGAUCGCGGGAUGGAAGAAAACAAAAGACUUGAAAAUUUGAUGUUUAUGAAAUUCGGGUCAAAAGUGUAAUUUGGCAAAAAUUGAGGGCUUAGGAUUUAAUUCGUCAAAAAUUCAGUGGUCAAAGUGUAAUUUGUCAAAAGUUGAGAGGUCAAAAUAUAAUUUAUUAAAAGUUGAGGGGUCAAAGGUGUAAUUUGUCAAAAGUUAAGGGAUCUAUUGAGUUUGAAAAACUAAAAUAUUACGAAGAUGAUGACUAAAACACUAUUGUGUUAUUAGCAAAUUGUUUGUGAUUUGAUCUGUUUAGUGUACAAAAAAUAAAUUAAAUUGAAACUGACCCAAAAAGCAAUGACACAAGCCAAUAGCAGUCAGCCCAUACUCACAGUUAUAGCCCAAGACAUACUUGCUACUUUCACAAGUAUUUUACAUCAAAAACAAAAACAAGCCUUUAGCCAAAU